rnacentral:rRNA from 1 species
AGGCAGCAGUGGGGAAUAUUGCACAAUGGGGGAAACCCUGAUGCAGCCAUGCCGCGUGUGUGAAGAAGGCCUUCGGGUUGUAAAGCACUUUCAGUAGGGAGGAAGGUAGUGUAGUUAACACCUGCAUUAUUUGACGUUACCUACAGAAGAAGCACCGGCUAACUCCGUGCCAGCAGCCGCGGUAAUACGGAGGGUGCGAGCGUUAAUCGGAAUUACUGGGCGUAAAGCGCAUGCAGGCGGCCUGUUAAGUCAGAUGUGAAAGCCCGGGGCUUAACCUCGGAAUUGCAUUUGAAACUGGCAGGCUAGAGUCUUGUAGAGGGGGGUAGGAAUUUCAGGUGUAGCGGUGAAAUGCGUAGAGAUCUGAAGGAAUACCAGUGGCGAAGGCGGCCCCCCUGGACAAAGACUGACGCUCAGAUGCGAAAGCGUGGGGAGCAAACAGGAUUAGAUACCCUGGUAG